CAGUAGCCGCGGUAAUACGAAGGGUGCAAGCGUUAAUCGGAAUUACUGGACGUAAAGCGCACGCAGGCGGUUUGUUAAGUCAGAUGUGAAAUCCCCGAGCUUAACUUGGGAACUGCAUUUGAAACUGGCAAGCUAGAGUCUUGUAGAGGGGGGUAGAAUUCCAGGUGUAGCGGUGAAAUGCGUAGAGAUCUGGAGGAAUACCGGUGGCGAAGGCGGCCCCCUGGACAAAGACUGACGCUCAGGUGCGAAAGCGUGGGGAGCAAACAGGAUUAGAUACCCGUGUAGUCCCUGUCUCUUAUAC
rnacentral:rRNA from 1 species